rnacentral:ribozyme from 1 species
UUUUUUUUUUUUUUUUUUUUUUUUUUUUUUUUUUUUUUUUUUUUAGACGGGCACUGUUGAAA